rnacentral:rRNA from 1 species
CCUACGGGAGGCAGCAGUGGGGAAUCUUCCGCAAUGGGCGAAAGCCUGACGGAGCAACGCCGCGUGAUCGAAUGAAGGCCUUCGGGUUGUAAAGAUCUGUUGACAGGGACGAAUAAGCAAUGCAAAUAGUUUUGUGUAUGACGGUACCUGUUUAGAAAGCUCCUGCUAACUACGUGCCAGCAGCGGCGGUAAUACGUAGGGAUCAGGCGUUGUCCGGAAUUACGGGGCGUAAAGGGGGCGUCGGUGGGCGUUUAAGUCAGGUGUGAAAACUUCGGGCUCAACCUGGUGAGUGCACUUGAAACUGAGUUUCUUGAGGGGACGAGAGGAAAGUGGAAUGCGUAGUGUAGCGGUGAAAUGCGUAGAUAUUAGGCGGAACACCAGUUGCGAAGGCGACUUUCUGGACUGCACCUGACGCUGAGGCGCGAAAGCGUGGGUAGCGAACGGGAUUAGAUACCCGAGUAGUC